UUUCCGUAGGUGAACCUGCGGAAGGAUCAUUAAAGAAUAUAGGCUUCGCGGCCGCUAUUCUAACCCUUUGUAUACCAACCUUUGUUGCUUUGGCGGGCCUCCGGCGCAAGCUGGGUCGCGCCCGCCAGAGGACCUAAACUCUAGAAUCAUUGCUGUCUGAGUACUAUUUUAAUAGUUAAAACUUUCAACAACGGAUCUCUUGGUUUUGGCAUCGAUGAAGAACGCAGC
rnacentral:misc_RNA from 1 species